AAAGAGUGGUAAACAAGAAGACCCUGAGAAGAAGAGAGCCCGGGACAUUCUGAGAACUGAAACAGAGCUAGCAAAGCUUUCACAGAGAGCGCUAAGUGAGAAUGAGGAGGAAGGGAAGGGAGUGAAACUGGAAAGUGGCCACAUCCCAGGGGACCCCAAGCUACCCACAUAAACAGGAAAAGUAGAGUAUUUGCUGCUUAAUCACAGCUUCUAAGUCUCCAGACCUCACUUUCCAGGUUGCUGGCCUUAACAGAACUCUAGAAACACCAUUGCCAGAGACAUGGGCAGAGGACAGAUCUGGAGGAUCUCAAAGGCUCUGGGUCUAUGUUAAGAUCUUCCCAGCUUUAGUGGAACAACGCAUCAGAGAAGCCAUGAGGGAUACUUGACAAACAUCCCCUUCAAACCGAAAGAUGCACAUAAGAGCCCCCCAAAUUCCCUCCUGUUGCUAAAGAUAAGUUAAGAAGAGAAAAAGAAGGUGAGAGUUGUAACACAAAUACAGCGUUAAAACCUUCAUUUAUGAGAGAAGUGCUGGGAAGCUGUGCAGAAAACAAAAAAGACAUCCUAUCUGUGGAAACUCCAAAAGGGCCUGUGCUGUUGAUUUUAUGGAUUUGAUGUUUCACAGACCAAACUAAGAACAUUUGAAUCCAUUCCAAUUUCACGUCGACAGGUUUUAUUUUUUACAGCAGCAGAAGCAUUGGUCUCCUUACCAAAUAUGGAUACUGAAACCAUGUUCCAAGUCCCUGCUACAGCUACAUGUUCAAUGUCUACUUCAGCCAGUUUCGUGAAGGAGCAAACCGAUCAUUUUUCCCUGUGUGCAUCUUCCUGCCUUGCUUGGAGUUUGUCAGAGGUUUGCAGGGACACCAUGAUCUGACCCACGAGCACAGCUACAAGAACAAA